GAUGAACGCUGGCGGCGUGCCUAAUACAUGCAAGUCGAGCGAACGGACGAGAAGCUUGCUGCUCUGAUGUUAGCGGCGGACGGGUGAGUAACACGUGGAUAACCUACCUAUAAGACUGGGAUAACUUCGGGAAACCGGAGCUAAUACCGGAUGAUAUUUUGAACCGCAUGGUUCAAUAGUGAAAGACGGUCUUGCUGUCACUUAUAGAUGGAUCCGCGCUGCAUUAGCUAGUUGGUAAGGUAACGGCUUACCAAGGCAACGAUGCAUAGCCGACCUGAGAGGGUGAUCGGCCACACUGGAACUGAGACACGGUCCAGACUCCUACGGGAGGCAGCAGUAGGGAAUCUUCCGCAAUGGGCGAAAGCCUGACGGAGCAACGCCGCGUGAGUGAUGAAGGUCUUCGGAUCGUAAAACUCUGUUAUUAGGGAAGAACAUAUGUGUAAGUAACUGUGCACAUCUUGACGGUACCUAAUCAGAAAGCCACGGCUAACUACGUG
rnacentral:rRNA from 1 species